rnacentral:rRNA from 1 species
GAUGAACGCUAGCGGCAGGCCUAAUACAUGCAAGUCGAACGGAUAUAUGUUUUUCGGAAUAUAUAUUAGUGGCGCACGGGUGAGUAACACGUACAUAACUUGCCCUCAAGCGGGGGAUAGCCUUGGGAAACUGAGAGUAAUACCCCAUAGAAUUAUUGGACGGCAUCGUUUGAUAAUUAAAACUACGGUGCUUGGGGAUAGAUGUGCGUCUGAUUAGCUAGUUGGUAAGGUAACUGCUCACCAAGGCGACGAUCAGUAGGGGGCGUGAGAGCGUGGCCCCCCCACACGGGUACUGAGACACGGACCCGACUCCUACGGGAGGCAGCAGUAAGGAAUAUUGGUCAAUGGAGGGAACUCUGAACCAGCCAUGCCGCGUGAAGGAUGACGGCCCUCUGGGUUGUAAACUUCUUUUGGAUGGGGCGAAAAAACGGGAUUUAUCCUGGACUGACGGUACCAUCAGAAUAAGCACCGGCUAACUCCGUGCCAGCAGCCGCGGU